GACGAACGCUGGCGGCGUGCUUAACACAUGCAAGUCGAACGAUGAAACUCUUCGGAGUGGAUUAGUGGCGAACGGGUGCGUAACACGUGGGCAAUCUGCCCUGUACUUUGGGAUAAGCCUUGGAAACGGGGUCUAAUACCGGAUAUCACUUCUCUGGGCAUCCAGGGUUGUUGAAAGUUCUGGCGGUACAGGAUGAGCCCGCGGCCUAUCAGCUUGUUGGUGGGGUAAUGGCCUACCAAGGCGACGACGGGUAGCCGGCCUGAGAGGGUGACCGGCCACACUGGGACUGAGACACGGCCCAGACUCC
rnacentral:rRNA from 1 species